UCUCCGUAGGUGAACCUGCGGAGGGAUCAUUACAGAGUUCAUGCCCUACCGGGUAGAUCUCCCACCCUAUGUUAUUAUUACUUUGUUGCUUUGGCGGGCCGUUAGGCUCCGGCCCGACUAACGGCCCCGGCUGGUAGGCGCCAGCCAGAGGACCCAAAACCCUGACUAUUAGUGUCGUCCGAGUACUAUAGAAUAGUUAAAACUUUCAACAACGGAUCUCUUGGUUCUG
rnacentral:misc_RNA from 1 species